CCAUUCACCAUUCACCGGGUCUCUCUCUCUCUCUCUCUCUCUCUGUUUAUGGGGAAGAGAGACAAAACUCCAGAGCGAAAAGAAAGGCAGGACUUUGUACAAGGUCAAUUUCUAGCAAUUAGCACUUAUGGAUCCACCACCACCAUGUCCAAAGCUCCAGAAAAUGAAAAACAUGGCCGAGAAGCUUUCUUCGCCAACAGAAGUGUCACGGGUGGUUUUGAAUUAGGCAUUGGAAGCUCCAUUUUAAUGGUGGUUUGUUCGUGUUAAUUGGGUGCUAUCCUACCUGAGCUUUUCCUCUUUUAUCUCUUUUUUAUUUUCUUCCUUUUUAAUUUAUUUUUUUCUGACUUGUUGCCCUUUAUUUGUUUCUUAUCUCCAUUCCCGUUGACCUUGUAAACCUUUUUUUUUUUUUUUUUUCUU